rnacentral:lncRNA from 1 species
GUCACGUUACGAAAGUAGCUCUUUAAUAAUUAUUAUUAUUAUUUUCCCUCGGUCUCUCAUUUAAAUUCUCGUAUAGGACCACUGAGGUGACGUCAUACCUCGGUGAUGGAACGUACUCCACCUAUCGAGAAUUAUUCGGGUUCUGAGAGAAUUUGACGUUUACCUUGGCAAAGAAACGCCUCUCGUUCUUUACUUGACUGUGAGCUGUGGUGUCGAAUAGAUAUACCAUAUAGAAUGGCGGAUGAUUUCAUCCAACUUAUUUUAUAACAUCAAGCAAUUUAAAGUAAAGUAAAAAGUUACCAGCAAGGGUUGUCGAGUUAGGGAGACAUGUGUGUGACAACUCCUGUUGGAGCCAACUAGGAAUCAUUCGCCAUUUGGGAGAAACCCUACCAUGAAGUCAUAGACCUUAUUUGACCACCUAGAGAAACCACUACAGCCACAGUCAAGUCAUCAUGGGAGUAUGUCGAUUUGGGAACAAGCUAUGGGAGCGUUCCAGCUCAAUUUUCGUCUUGGCACCUGGGCCUACAGGAGUCAUGGGGUCGCACCAUCCUGGUGCAUCAUUUUCUAGGAUGCAACCGCAACCUCGUUUGGGAACAUUUAGUGAGGUGUUUUAGUAACUAUUGGUUUUUUUUAUAUUUCAGACUAUCUGUUAAAUACACUAUGUUUUUUUUCCAGAUUUAGGUUACCUCUGGUUUUUUUUGACAUAUUUGUAUAUUAGAUUAUUUGGUUCCCAAACUUUGUAUCUACGGUAACUUCUUGUGCACAGGAAUAAGCCUAGAGAAAAUUAGGUUUUUAAUACUUUAUUAUUGCUUUGAUAUUGGUUUAUGUAAUUCGGGUAAAUUUAUUUUGUAAUAUUACUAGCUUGUUUCCCAAAUAUUUUACUGUUAUUCGCUUUAUUCCGUUUGUUCGGUUAAUUUAGGUCAUCGUCGGUAUUUAUCUCAACUUCAUUUCUACUUUAUUCAUUGUAUAUCUAACUUUGCUUAAUUCAUUUAGUAUUUUCCCUUAGUUAGGCUCAUGCCUAUUUACAUAUAUUUAUUUAUAUUACUUUUAAUAUUCAUCGGUUUUCCUUUAGUUGUACGUAGCAGGCGUACUAUAACCAUUUGGUAGAAGACUUAUGUAAUUUUGUACCCUAUAUAUAUGUAAGAGGUAUUUAAGUUUAUAACAGAUAACAUUAUUGUUGUUAUCUUUAAAAUAUAUAUAGCUUCUUGUAUAACUUUUGUCAUGUUAGAGUCACAGCAUAAUAUGCUUGUCUAACUCAGAGAUUGUUAAAAAUCUAGUAGUUAUUUUAAUAAAUAUUUAUUUAUUUUGUA